rnacentral:misc_RNA from 1 species
GAUGAAGAACGCAGCGAAAUGCGAUAAGUAAUGUGAAUUGCAGAAUUCAGUGAAUCAUCGAAUCUUUGAACGCACAUUGCGCCCUUUGGUAUUCCGAGGGGCAUGCCUGUCCGAGCGUCAUUGCUGCCCUCAAGCACGGCUUGUGUGUUGGGCCUCCGUCCUCCUCCCGGGGGACGGGCCCGAAAGGCAGCGGCGGCACCGCGUCCGGUCCUCGAGCGUAUGGGGCUUCGUCACCCGCUCUUGUAGGCCCGGCCGGCGCUUGCCGACACAUCAAUCUUUUUUCCAGGUUGACCUCGGAUCAGGUAGGGAUACCCGCUGAACUUAAGCAUAUCAAUAAGCGGAGGA